rnacentral:rRNA from 1 species
GUGGGGAAUCUUGCGCAAUGGGCGAAAGCCUGACGCAGCCAUGCCGCGUGAAUGAUGAAGGUCUUAGGAUUGUAAAAUUCUUUCAGCAGGGACGAUAAUGACGGUACCUGCAGAAGAAGCCCCGGCUAACUUCGUGCCAGCAGCCGCGGUAAUACGAAGGGGGCUAGCGUUGCUCGGAAUUACUGGGCGUAAAGGGCGCGUAGGCGGGUCGUUAAGUAGGGGGUGAAAGCCCAGGGCUCAACCCUGGAAUUGCCUUCUAAACUGGCGGCCUUGAGUAUGGCAGAGGUGUGUGGAACUCCGAGUGUAGAGGUGAAAUUCGUAGAUAUUCGGAAGAACACCAGUGGCGAAGGCGACACACUGGGCCAUUACUGACGCUGAGGCGCGAAAGCGUGGGGAGCAAACAGGAUUAGAUACCCUUGUAGUCC